UACAGAGGUCUCAAGCGUUGUUCGGAUUCAUUGGGCGUAAAGGGUGCGUAGGUGGCGCGCUAAGUCAGGUGUGAAAUUUCGGAGCUUAACUCCGAAACUGCAUUUGAUACUGGCGUGCUUGAGGACUGGAGAGGAGACUGGAAUUCACGGUGUAGCAGUGAAAUGCGUAGAUAUCGUGAGGAAGACCAGUGGCGAAGGCGGGUCUCUGGACAGUUACUGACGCUGAGGAACGAAGGCCAGGGGAGCAAACGGG
rnacentral:rRNA from 1 species